GCCAGGUGUGGUGGCGCGUGCCUGUAGUCCCAGCAACUCAAGAGGCUGAGGUGGGAGGAUCACUUGAGCCCAGGAGUUCUGGGCUGUAGUGCGCUAUGCCGAUCAGGUGUCCGCACUAAAUUCGGCAUCAAUAUGGUGACCUCCUGGAAGCGGGAAACCACCAGGUUGCCUAAGGAGGGGUGAACUGGCCCAGGUUGGAAAAAGAGCAGGUCAAAACUCCCGUGCUGAUCAGUAGUGGGAUCGCGCCUGUGAAUAGCCACUGCCCUCCAGCCUGCGCAACAUAGCAAGACCCCGUCUUU
rnacentral:SRP_RNA from 1 species